rnacentral:rRNA from 1 species
UACGUAGGGUGCGAGCGUUGCCCGGAUUUAUUGGGCGUAAAGGGCGCGUAGGCGGCCUGGCGCGUCGGCUGUGAAAUCUCCCGGCUCAACUGGGAGGGGACGGCCGAUACGGCUAGGCUUGAGCGAGGUAGGGGAGAGUGGAAUUCCCGGUGUAGUGGUGGAAUGCGCAGAUAUCAGGAGGAACACCAAUAGCGAAGGCAGCUCGCUGGGACGGUAUUGACGCUAAGGCGCGAAAGCGUGGGGAGCAAACAGG